rnacentral:rRNA from 1 species
GGUCCAGGUAGCUGCCUUCGCCAUGGAUGUUCCUCCUGAUCUCUACGCAUUUCACUGCUACACCAGGAAUUCCGCUACCCUCUACCACACUCUAGUCGCCCAGUAUCCACUGCAGUUCCCAGGUUGAGCCCAGGGCUUUCACAACGGACUUAAACGACCACCUACGCACGCUUUACGCCCAGUAAUUCCGAGUAACGCUUGCACCCUUCGUAUUACCGCGGCUGCUGGCACGAAGUUAGCCGGUGCUUAUUCUUUGGGUACCGUCAUCCCAACCGGGUAUUAGCCAGCUGGAUUUCUUUCCCAACAAAAGGGCUUUACAACCCGAAGGCCUUCUUCACCCACGCGGUAUGGCUGGAUCAGGCUUGCGCCCAUUGUCCAAUAUUCCCCACUGCUGCCUCCCGUAGGAGUCUGGACCGUGUCUCAGUUCCAGUGUGGCUGAUCAUCCUCUCAGACCAGCUACGGAUCGUCGCCUUGGUGGGCCUUUACCCCGCCAACUAGCUAAUCCGACAUCGGCUCAUUCAAUCGCGCAAGGUCCGAAGAUCCCCUGCUUUCACCCGUAGGUCGUAUGCGGUAUUAGCGUAAGUUUCCCUACGUUAUCCCCCACGACAGAGUAGAUUCCGAUGUAUUCCUCACCCGUCCGCCACUCGCCACCCAGAGAGCAAGCUCUCCUGUGCUGCCGUUCGACUUGCAUGUGUUAGG